GACUCCUACGGGGCGCAGCAGUAGGGAAUUUUCGUCAAUGGGCGCAAGCCUGAGCGAGCGAUGCCGCGUGAGUGAAGAAGGCCUUCGGGUCGUAAAGCUCUGUUGCGGGGGAAAAAAGGCAGCAUCAGGAAAUGGGUGCUGACUGAUGGUGCCCCGCCAGAAAGUCACGGCUAACUACGUGCCAGCAGCCGCGGUAAUACGUAGGUGGCGAGCGUUAUCCGGAAUGAUUGGGCGUAAAGGGGGCGCAGGCGGUCCUGCAAGUCUUGAGUGAAACGCAUGGGCUCAACCCAUGCAUGGCUUUGGAA
rnacentral:rRNA from 1 species